CCCUGCGCAGGCACACACGUCUACUCCAGUCACCUGACCUGUCCCUGCAUGAUCUCCAGUCCAGACGAUCCUCCCCGUGCAUAGGAGCAGCAGCAGCCUCCGCUGCACCGAUCCCCGGCAGCCAGCAGGAGGAUGAGGAUCUGCUGACAAUGUGAGGAGCCAAUGAUGUCUGGAUGUCAGACUCUGCAGAAAAGAUGGAGCUGGAGGAAGACCUGGUCUCUGGACCAGAUGAAGAAGAAAAGAUAACAGAGAAAAUAUCACUCAAGUGAGAAGACGUCACUCAGGUAUUAUGACUGUAAAGCAACCGUCCUGCGUAAAAUAAAAAAAAAACAAGGAAUUCAGGAAGUGGGAGCAGGAGUUCCGGAACCAUCUCCUGCCAGAGGGUCGGAGUGAGACAGGCCUUGGUGGUCCUCAUAUGUCGCCUGAAUCCGAGAGUGCUGGCGAUCAACCAGGUCCAUCUGCAGGGAGGAUGGUCCGCCAUCAAAACUUGCCCCAAUCACCUGUCCUGUCCUCAGCAUCGGCUGAGAUAGAUGAGGAGGAGGAGGUGUCCCCAGGUGAACAACACCAACCACUCUCCCCCAACCCUAGCUCCUGGCUCUGUCCCAAGGGAUACUUACCUGCAGCUUGCUAAAGAAAUCCAAAGGCUGGCCAAGGAGAACAGGAACAUGUCGCGCGAAUUGCGCCGGAUGAAUCGCACCAUGGUUGAACUCCACCGAUCACAAAAACAAGAGUUCCAAGCCCUGUUGGCCAAACAAAUGGGAGAAUUUCAGGCCAUGUUGUCCCACCAUAGCCAACAACAGAUGCAGGCGAUGCAUGAUUUGAGGGUGGACGUUAUGCCCCAUAAGCAGCAGCAAUACCCCCCAAAAAAACUGAAAUAUACGGGACUAAAUUAUUUCGCCUUGUUGAUAUGUUUCAGUUGUUGUUCUGUUUAAGAUAUGUUAUUAUUACUACUGCAGCA